GAUUAAGUUAUUAAGGGCGCACGGUGGAUGCCUUGGCACUAGAAGCCGAUGAAGGACGUUACUAACGACGAUAUGCUUUGGGGAGCUGUAAGUAAGCUUUGAUCCAGAGAUUUCCGAAUGGGGAAACCCAGCAUGAGUUAUGUCAUGUUAUCGAUAUGUGAAUACAUAGCAUAUCAGAAGGCACACCCGGAGAACUGAAACAUCUUAGUACCCGGAGGAAGAAAAAGAAAAUUCGAUUCCCUUAGUAGCGGCGAGCGAAACGGGAAGAGCCCAAACCAACAAGCUUGCUUGUUGGGGUUGUAGGACACUCUAUACGGAGUUACAAAGGACGACAUUAGACGAAUCAUCUGGAAAGAUGAAUCAAAGAAGGUAAUAAUCCUGUAGUCGAAAAUGUUGUCUCUCUUGAGUGGAUCCUGAGUACGACGGAACACGUGAAAUUCCGUCGGAAUCUGGGAGGACCAUCUCCUAAGGCUAAAUACUCUCUAGUGACCGAUAGUGAACCAGUACCGUGAGGGAAAGGUGAAAAGCACCCCGGAAGGGGAGUGAAAUAGAACCUGAAACCGUGUGCUUACAAGUAGUCAGAGCCCGUUAAUGGGUGAUGGCGUGCCUUUUGUAGAAUGAACCGGCGAGUUACGAUUUGAUGCAAGGUUAAGCAGUAAAUGUGGAGCCGUAGCGAAAGCGAGUCUGAAUAGGGCGUUUAGUAUUUGGUCGUAGACCCGAAACCAGGUGAUCUACCCUUGGUCAGGUUGAAGUUCAGGUAACACUGAAUGGAGGACCGAACCGACUUACGUUGAAAAGUGAGCGGAUGAACUGAGGGUAGCGGAGAAAUUCCAAUCGAACCUGGAGAUAGCUGGUUCUCUCCGAAAUAGCUUUAGGGCUAGCCUCAAGUGAUGAUUAUUGGAGGUAGAGCACUGUUUGGACGAGGGGCCCCUCUCGGGUUACCGAAUUCAGACAAACUCCGAAUGCCAAUUAAUUUAACUUGGGAGUCAGAACAUGGGUGAUAAGGUCCGUGUUCGAAAGGGAAACAGCCCAGACCACCAGCUAAGGUCCCAAAAUAUAUGUUAAGUGGAAAAGGAUGUGGCGUUGCCCAGACAACUAGGAUGUUGGCUUAGAAGCAGCCAUCAUUUAAAGAGUGCGUAAUAGCUCACUAGUCGAGUGACACUGCGCCGAAAAUGUACCGGGGCUAAACAUAUUACCGAAGCUGUGGAUUGUCCUUUGGACAAUGGUAGGAGAGCGUUCUAAGGGCGUUGAAGCAUGAUCGUAAGGACAUGUGGAGCGCUUAGAAGUGAGAAUGCCGGUGUGAGUAGCGAAAGACGGGUGAGAAUCCCGUCCACCGAUUGACUAAGGUUUCCAGAGGAAGGCUCGUCCGCUCUGGGUUAGUCGGGUCCUAAGCUGAGGCCGACAGGCGUAGGCGAUGGAUAACAGGUUGAUAUUCCUGUACCACCUAUAAUCGUUUUAAUCGAUGGGGGGACGCAGUAGGAUAGGCGAAGCGUGCGAUUGGAUUGCACGUCUAAGCAGUAAGGCUGAGUAUUAGGCAAAUCCGGUACUCGUUAAGGCUGAGCUGUGAUGGGGAGAAGACAUUGAGUCUUCGAGUCGUUGAUUUCACACUGCCGAGAAAAGCCUCUAGAUAGAAAAUAGGUGCCCGUACCGCAAACCGACACAGGUAGUCAAGAUGAGAAUUCUAAGGUGAGCGAGCGAACUCUCGUUAAGGAACUCGGCAAAAUGACCCCGUAACUUCGGGAGAAGGGGUGCUCUUUAGGGUUAACGCCCAGAAGAGCCGCAGUGAAUAGGCCCAAGCGACUGUUUAUCAAAAACACAGGUCUCUGCUAAACCGUAAGGUGAUGUAUAGGGGCUGACGCCUGCCCGGUGCUGGAAGGUUAAGAGGAGUGGUUAGCUUCUGCGAAGCUACGAAUCGAAGCCCCAGUAAACGGCGGCCGUAACUAUAACGGUCCUAAGGUAGCGAAAUUCCUUGUCGGGUAAGUUCCGACCCGCACGAAAGGCGUAACGAUUUGGGCACUGUCUCAACGAGAGACUCGGUGAAAUCAUAGUACCUGUGAAGAUGCAGGUUACCCGCGACAGGACGGAAAGACCCCGUGGAGCUUUACUGUAGCCUGAUAUUGAAAUUCGGCACAGCUUGUACAGGAUAGGUAGGAGCCUUUGAAACGUGAGCGCUAGCUUACGUGGAGGCGCUGGUGGGAUACUACCCUAGCUGUGUUGGCUUUCUAACCCGCACCACUUAUCGUGGUGGGAGACAGUGUCAGGCGGGCAGUUUGACUGGGGCGGUCGCCUCCUAAAAGGUAACGGAGGCGCUCAAAGGUUCCCUCAGAAUGGUUGGAAAUCAUUCAUAGAGUGUAAAGGCAUAAGGGAGCUUGACUGCGAGACCUACAAGUCGAGCAGGGUCGAAAGACGGACUUAGUGAUCCGGUGGUUCCGCAUGGAAGGGCCAUCGCUCAACGGAUAAAAGCUACCCCGGGGAUAACAGGCUUAUCUCCCCCAAGAGUUCACAUCGACGGGGAGGUUUGGCACCUCGAUGUCGGCUCAUCGCAUCCUGGGGCUGUAGUCGGUCCCAAGGGUUGGGCUGUUCGCCCAUUAAAGCGGUACGCGAGCUGGGUUCAGAACGUCGUGAGACAGUUCGGUCCCUAUCCGUCGUGGGCGUAGGAAAUUUGAGAGGAGCUGUCCUUAGUACGAGAGGACCGGGAUGGACAUACCUCUGGUGUACCAGUUGUCGUGCCAACGGCAUAGCUGGGUAGCUAUGUGUGGACGGGAUAAGUGCUGAAAGCAUCUAAGCAUGAAGCCCCCCUCAAGAUGAGAUUUCCCAACUUCGGUUAUAAGAUCCCUCAAAGAUGAUGAGGUUAAUAGGUUCGAGGUGGAAGCAUGGUGACAUGUGGAGCUGACGAAUACUAAUCGAUCGAAGACUUAAUAAA
rnacentral:rRNA from 1 species